GUAUGGGGAUCUGCCCGAUAGAGGGGAAUAACUACUGGAAACGGUGGCUAAUACCGCAUAAUGUCUACGGACCAAAGCAGGGGCGCUUCGGACCUUGCACUAUCGGAUGAACCCAUGUGGGAUUAGCUAGUAGGUGGGGUAAAGGCUCACCUAGGCGACGAUCUCUAGCUGGUCUGAGAGGAUGAUCAGCCACACUGGGACUGAGACACGGCCCAG
rnacentral:rRNA from 1 species